UACGUAGGGGGCAAGCGUUGUCCGGAAUCAUUGGGCGUAAAGAGCGCGUAGGCGGUCCGGUAAGUCCGCUCUGAAAGUCCGGGGCUCAACCCCGGGAGGCGGGCGGAUACUGCCGGGCUAGAGUCCGGAAGAGGCGAGUGGAAUUCCUGGUGUAGCGGUGAAAUGCGUAGAUAUCAAGAGGAACACCAGUGGCGAAGGCGAGUCCCUGGACAACACCUGACACUGAGGCACGAAAGCUAGGGGAGCAAACAGG
rnacentral:rRNA from 1 species